UACAGAGGUCUCAAGCGUUGUUCGGAUUCAUUGGGCGUAAAGGGUGCGUAGGCGGCGCGGUAAGUCGGGUGUGAAGAUCUCGGAGCUUAACUCCCGAAACUGCAUUCGAUACUGCCGUGCUUGAGGACUGGAGAGGAGACUGGAAUUUACGGUGUAGCGGUGAAAUGCGUAGAUAUCGUAAGGAAGACCAGUGGCGAAAGGCGGG
rnacentral:rRNA from 1 species